rnacentral:rRNA from 1 species
UACGUAGGGCGCAAGCGUUGUCCGGAAUUAUUGGGCGUAAAGAGCUCGUAGGCGGUCUGUCGCGUCCGUUGUGAAAACUCGAGGCUCAACCUCGGGCUUGCAGUGGAUACGGGCAGACUAGAGUGCGGUAGGGGAGACUGGAAUUCCUGGUGUAGCGGUGGAAUGCGCAGAUAUCGGGAGGAACACCAGUAGCGAAGGCGGCACUCUGGGCCGGUACUGACGCUGAGGAGCGAAAGCGUGGGGAGCGAACAGG